rnacentral:lncRNA from 1 species
CCACCGGUGAGAGGAUUACGUAAGCUAAUAGCUAAUGUAUCAAAGGAAAGGAGAGAAAAGAAACAGCCAUGGCAACCAGAGCAAUAGGGCCCAGGCUUUGGCCCUCAGAAGAAACCUGUAUCCACCUAGCAAAAGGAGGAUAAGGACUAACUGGGAGAAAACCAGAGGGGAUGGUGAACAGAAAAGUCAACAACAGGAAAUGGCAGACUGUGGCCUAGUCAUCCUCUGGCUGUCAGAUCUCGGCUUAUUGCAUGAGACAUAAUCUGCCAUCUUCAGGAGUGUGAACCUGGUCCUCUUCGAGUCUCUGGGUUCUUCCCUUCAUGCCGAGUGGUGCUUUGGUGGGAAAAUUGUGUUUUUCUUUGAAUAUAACCUUUUCUAGAGAUAGAGGUGGGCGGCACUAUGAUCAGAGAACCUUUAUCCUCUGCAUUCCUCCCAAUGCUCGGCUCUUCCCCGAGAAAUGGCCCUCAACCCAAUGCAGGGGCAAUGGCUAGCCCCAGGAACAAUCAUCCCAAGAUUCUCAAGUUUAAAGAGAAUACUUGGCCAGGCUUGGUGGCUCACGCCUGUAAUCCCAGUACUUUGGGAGGCCGAGGCAGGCGGAUCACGAGGUCAGGAGAUCGAGACCAUCCUGGAUAACAUGGUGAAACCCCGUCUCUACUGAAAAUACAAAAAAUUAGCCGGGCAUGGUGGCGGGCACCUGUAGUCCCAGCUACUCAGGAGGCUGAGGCAGGAGAAUGGCGUGAACCCGGGAGGCGGAGCUUGCAGUGAGCCGAGGUCGCGCCACUGCACUCCAGCUUGGGCGACAGAGGGAGACUCCGUCUCAAAAAAAAAAAAAAAAAAGAAUACUCAUCUCUGGUUCAAAAUGUCUUGAUUCUAGAAUUUCAGUACUUGGAUUUGAACACUUCCUCUGGCAAGUUAGGGAUGACUUCACAUUGUCCACUAACUUCAAAAUCCUCUUUAUGGCAUGAGAAAGAUCCACAACAUUGAAGAGUCCUUAUCACUCUAAAUAAUUCUGAGUUCCUAAACUCAGGUGAAUAAGAUUCACAGAGGGUAGCGGAUGCUGCCUGGCUUUGCCCCACCCCAGAUCCGUAUGGUCCUCCUGAGUUCAUCUGCAGCUGUGAUCCAGGCAAACUGACAGCUCCCCACCUCCCCUGCUGUCUUCCAUGCCUGGGGGCUUUGGAGCCUCCCCAGCUUCUGGUGGGACAAUGCUGAGUUGGGCUGCACACGGUUUUUCAAAAGAUCCCCUGGGAUUGAGCCCCAGUUGCCCUGGAGCCCUAACAUGAAACUACUCCCUAACCCCUGGAAUUGGCCUUUCUCCUUUUCCCAUGGCAUUUUCCCGACUUCCUCACUUGUGCUUCCUGGGAUUACCUCUCCAGGAGGGGCAAUUAAACAAACAACCUGCAUCCACACCCUUGCCUCAGGGCCUGAUUUUCAGGGAAUACAAACAACUGACUCUGCAUUGUAGAGAAGCCCUGUUUUGCCUUGAUGACACAUCUAGUCUCUAAUAAUGGUGUCCCAAGAGGUUGUUCAGUCUGGCCUUUCUCCCUGUAUACAAGCAGAUUAACUAGGAAGCAUGAGAAGUUGAAAUGUCAGGGCCUAUCACUCGAACAAGCCAUUUUCAAGCCUUGGGAAGGGCUCUAGAAAUCUACUCACAUGGUAUAUGUUUUUGUAAAAUUUACAAAGGCAAGACAUUUUAACCCUAGUCAGUCAAGACCACUGUCUCUUUUCAGGUUGUAUUCUGGUGACGGAGAGUACUUUGGGAAUCUAGCUAAAGGGGAAAUUGAGUUAGAAAUACACAUUUUAACUGAAAUUUGGCAAGAUGUUUCAGAACAUUUCAGUAAAAUAAAUGUAAAAUUACAGACUCCUGUUGGGAGAAUAUGGAGUGUUCUUUCUGCUAUCUUUAAAUCAAGUAUUUAAAGAACUGAGAGAAAAUGUCAAUAAAAAAGUAAUAGAGUAAGACACAAAAGCAACAGAGUGAGCAAUAAAAUCAAUAGAAAUUAUUUCAAUAUCAAGAAGUAAAUUGCAACAAAAACAUUCAGCAUAUCAAAUGCAGUCAGAAGAAUAGAGUAAAAAUAAUGAUAGGCUUAUGGAUUAUUUGAUAACACAAUUAAUAAACACAAGUGAGUCAUGUGAAUACACUGGAAAAAAUUAAAUACCCCAAUUUUUUGACACCAAAUAUUGAUAUCAAUGAAUAAAAUAUAAACUCAAAAUACAUCACCACAAUGAGUACACCUAUGACAAACUGGUUAAUGACUGUCAUUAAUUCAAAGUACUCAACAUAGGAUAGUGCACUAGAAAGCUUGAAAUGCCUUGAAAACAAACAGAUCAUAUGUGCCAAAAACUUAAUAGAGGUUUCCAAAUUUGAGAACAGUCCUAACAAUUUACAUGACAUUGUCAACUAUGAGUUGUGAAAGCUAUAUGAAAUGUUUCUAAAUUAUCAAAAAUAAAAAACAAACUGUAAUCCAUCAUGGUAGAAGAAAGACUAAAUUAUCUUUCUAUUCUCUCUAUGGAAUGUUAUUCCUAAAACAUUAUCAUAUGAAGAUGAAACUAAAGAAUUUGCUUUCAGAAAUGGAAGGGAAAAAUUAUCAAAGAAGUCUGAAAGUAGGAAAUUCGAUUAAAUAUUAGGCUAAAUAAAAUAAAAUGUAUUCAUUUACUUUUAAAAUAAAAAAUAUUCUAUUACUUUUCAGGAUGUUGUUUUUUGUGCUGUUUGUCAUUAAGUAUCUGUCAUUU